GGAUUGGGCUUCUCGGGGUUUGUUUACCGGCGUUGCUAUGGUUUCCGGUCUUGUGUGUUCCAACGGUUUAUUGUUUUAUUAGGUUUAUUAGGUAGGCCUAUCUAAUAAAUAUCUGUCUAAUCAAUACUUCAUUCACUGCCUCUUCCGUGGUCAUUACAAUAUUGAGUCCAGAAGAGAAGCUGUGAUCAGAGGCCUCAUUCUCUACCUUGGUGAAAAGACGGAGGAGCUAAUCAAGGACUACAAGGUUUUUGAUGAUGACGAUGUUGGGACUGUACAAGAGGCCCUUACUACACAAGUCCUCAACAUCUUUGUGGUCAGCAAAGCCAGAGAUGGAGAUCUCCAGAAGCAGGCUGGAAUAGCCAUCGAGGGAGCAGAGGUCCUUUUUGGUAUCCCUGAUGUUGCACAUGCUUGUACCUACCUGAUGGGCCUCAUCUACGCCUUGGAACUAAGGUACCCUAACAAACUGAAAUACACCUUUGAGGUUUUUCAGAAGAUCUUUCUAGAGCUGGAGGAUGUCAACCAAAAGGUGUCCUCCAAGGUCCACGAUCUGAAGGUCAGUUUACAUGCCUAAAAGCCAUACAGACAUUGCUGAAGCUCCCUCUUGUCAAGGUUUACAGUUUUUGGUUAUACAUUGCACUUUCACAGGUUUUCCAAAAGCACUUCCUCGGGUUACAUUUUUAAGCUCGUGUGUAUGCUGCUUAAAUUUGUUUUGUGUAAACUCGGGUCAGAUGUUUGUCAGAUAUCAGCACUUUAAAUGGCUGAUAGAAUUCAUUUCAGCUCAAGGGAGUCAUUGUAAGUGACCUUAGGUGUAUUUUUCAAGCAGCUUUUCAGGUACUGCUACCGGAGGCAGAUCUACACAGA
ensembl:lncRNA